rnacentral:rRNA from 1 species
UGUGGUGGGAAUGCCGCUCUAAGUGGGUGGUAAAUUCCAUCUAAAGCUAAAUAUUGGCGAGAGACCGGUAGCGAACAAGUACAGUGAUGGAAAGAUGAAAAGAACUUUGAAAAGUGAGUGAAAAAGUACGUGAAAUUGUUGAAAGGGAAGGGUUUGAGAUCAGAGUCUGACUAUUUUGUGAGCCUUGCCUUCGUGGCGGGGUGACCCGCAGCUUAUCGGGCCAGCAUCGGUUUGGGCGGUAGGAUAAUGGCGUAGGAAUGUGACUUUACUUCGGUGAAGUGUUAUAGCCUGCUGUUGAUGCGUGCUCUGCGCGUAGA